CGUGUAGGCGGUCACUUAAGUCUGGUGUGAAAUCCCGGGGCUCAACCCCGGAAGUGCAUUGGAUACUGGGUGGCUAGAGGACGAGAGAGGGAAGCGGAAUUCCUGGUGUAGGGGUGAAAUCCGUAGAUAUCAGGAGGAACAUCGGUGGCGAAGGCGGCUUCCUGGCUCGUACCUGACGCUGAGACGCGAAAGCGUGGGUAGCAAACA
rnacentral:rRNA from 1 species